CUACAUAAGCCCUGGACCCCCAGAGAUCAGGGCCUGAUAUUCUGGGAAGGAUUUUGAUCAGUGCUCAUCAAUGUAAAAAAAUCUGCCUCCCAAUCCUGGAUGUCGUUUCGGUGCUUCUGCUUGCCGUUGCGCGGAGGCAGGAAGUGCACUCAGGGCACUGGGGUUGGGAAGGGAGGGGUGCACAGCGAGUGUGGACAUCAGGGAGGACCCUGGGACUUCUCGGGUGCUGCCUCAGGGUGCAAUGUUGGAUCUAGGCCCAGGGACCCAGCAACAUUCAGACCUGGUCCCGGAAACAGAGCGAUCACCCAGUUCCAGAGCGACCUGCAAUCAGGAAGCGCCAGGAUCCCCUGAGCCACUGGAAAGGAAUCCUGACGUCUGGCAGGACUGGUUGCCCUCCUGAGGGCUCCCCAAAAGGGCAAGCUCUCUGGCAGCUCACCCCGCUGCUAUUUAAAGCUGCUGCCCCGGGCUGGGAACUGGAAUCCUGGAUGAGCCCCGCCCAGUAAAGGGCGUUGUUGCCUCACUCAGCCUCAGUUUCCCUGCCUGACGUUG
rnacentral:lncRNA from 1 species